rnacentral:rRNA from 1 species
GACGAACGCUGGCGGCGUGCUUAACACAUGCAAGUCGAACGGAAAGGCCCUGCUUUUGUGGGGUGCUCGAGUGGCGAACGGGUGAGUAACACGUGAGUAACCUGCCCUUGACUUUUGGAUAACUUCAGGAAACUGGGGCUAAUACCGGAUAGGAUCUCCUGCUGCAUGGUGGGGGUUGGAAAGUUUCGGCGGUUGGGGAUGGACUCGCGGCUUAUCAGCUUGUUGGUGGGGUAGUGGCUUACCAAGGCUUUGACGGGUAGCCGGCCUGAGAGGGUGACCGGCCACAUUGGGACUGAGAUACGGCCCAGACUCCUACGGGAGGCAGCAGUGGGGAAUAUUGCACAAUGGGCGGAAGCCUGAUGCAGCAACGCCGCGUGCGGGAUGACGGCCUUCGGGUUGUAAACCGCUUUCGCCUGUGACGAAGCGUGAGUGACGGUAAUGGGUAAAGAAGCACCGGCUAACUACGUG